UAGAGGGGAGGUCUAAAACAUUGACUGCGGGCACGCGCUGGCACAUAGACAGCAUGCUGCAAAGUCCCAGAGCACCACAGUGAGUAGCUGGAGUCCAGAAGAUCCGAGUUCGAGUCCUGUCUACUAUUCCUUCCCUGGCUGAGCUUGCCUGAGGUUAUGAGCUUCCUGCUUAGGGAUGAGAAAGGCAGCGUUGUCUGUGUCUGCUCAAUGUGAGCACAUGCCGGUUACAGUGCUCACGCCACCCCACUUCAUUUUAUGCUUGGGUCCUGGCCACCCUGGAGAACUCAGCUCUCCAAUGGGACACUCGAUCCCGCUUCUGCCUGGUGCAGCGAAGCCUGAAGAACACACUGCAGGCAGGAGCCCAGCCUGGAGCGACCACAUCUCCCAGAGUCAUCCCACCACCAGCUCUGGGGUCGUCUUCGUGAUGCCGGAUAGCUCUGCUCUCAGUUUCUUCAUGCGUCACUGUAGUCUCAGACCAGAGGCGGGCACAGGUGAAGAACAUCCGUAGAACCUUUUAGGGGGCCAGUUUUGAGAAACAUCCCAUAGCCCACCCCCAAUCUAGGUAGCUGACAGACUUUAAAGAAAAAUCACAGAGUCACGGGACCUUAGAGCCACCAGGAGCCUUAGAGUGCCUCUCCCAGCCUUGAACUUCGCCAGUGAAGAAGUGGUCAGCAUGGCCACCGUGUGCCGGCACCUGCUGCAUACCCCAAGCCGCUGUCAUGUCUCCCCGUCCGUUUUUGAUACUUUUCUCUCUGUGUUAAAAUACUUGGUAUCAGCAAACUUGAGAGCAUCGCCCUUUGGGCUGAGGAAAUCCCGACCUGUGAUGUCAGGAGCAUGAGGCAACUGGUCCCACUUCGUAUCUGCAGACAGAUAUGAGGGCUGGUACACAGCUCACGCGCCCCUCCCGUGUUGUAUCUGCACAGAUGUAUAUCUACCUGGGGCAUCUGCACGCCUGGUGCCUGCAGAGGUCAGAGCAGUCCUACCUACAUUCAAGGUGGGUCUCCCUACCUCAGCGAUCUCAAUCUGAAGUAUGAACCGUCACCCCAUCUACCGUCAGUCCCACCACACACAGAUGUGGCCAGCUGUGGCCAGCUGUGGCCCAUCAGAUUCUAUAGAGGAAAAAGCAGACACACGGAGAUCUUCGGAGCCUGCCUUGUUCCAGCUCCUUCUAGGCAGCUGGGCCAUGGGUGUCUGAUUGCUCACACACAUGUUCCCAUGUUUGUAUGAAGGUGCUCCUUUAAGAACGGGGUAUCUCAGGGCAGUCGUGGCACACACCUUUAAUCCCAGCACUUGGGAGGCAGAGG
rnacentral:lncRNA from 1 species